GAUACGAGACAAGAGGAGUGUAGAUGUCAUAGCAAUAGCAUGCGUGAUGUGCUCUGGAUUGAAUUUAUUGAAAUCGCUAAUAAUUGUGAAUUAAUAGUAAAUUUGAACUCGCUAUCCAUCAGUUAAUCCCAGUAAAUUUGUAGAAACUAGAAUAACGGAUAGGUGAGAUAUUCCAAUUCGUAUAAACCUUAAACACGAGUCACUAUUGUCUGAUUUUAGGUUAGCCUUGAUCGUAGAUUUGUACGGCCAAUACGUGUAUCUAAUAGUGCUGAUAACGCUUAAAACGCCAUUGAAUUGAAAUUGGAAGCACAUAAAUUGAAAUAGAUCCAAACCCGUAGAUAGCUACAGGAAUCUUACAAACGUAAGUAACAUAAAAUUUGUACAACUAAGCAAUACUUAUAAUUGAAUUAAUUACAGGAGAAUUUUAA